rnacentral:rRNA from 1 species
GAUGAACGCUGGCGGCGUGCCUAAUACAUGCAAGUCGAGCGAACAGACGAGGAGCUUGCUCCUCUGACGUUAGCGGCGGACGGGUGAGUAACACGUGGAUAACCUACCUAUAAGACUGGGAUAACUUCGGGAAACCGGAGCUAAUACCGGAUAAUAUAUUGAACCGCAUGGUUCAAUAGUGAAAGACGGUUUUGCUGUCACUUAUCGAUGGAUCCGCGCCGCAUUAGCUAGUUGGUAAGGUAACGGCUUACCAAGGCAACGAUGCGUAGCCGACCUGAGAGGGUGAUCGGCCACACGGGAACUGGGACACGGUCCAGACUCCUACGGGAGGCAGCAGUAGGGAAUCUUCCGCAAUGGGCGAGAGCUUGACGGAGCAACGCCGCGUGAGUGAUGAAGGUCUUCGGAUCGUAAAACUCUGUUAUGAGGGAAGAACAAAUGUGUAAGUAACUAUGCACGUCUUGACGGUACCUAAUCAGAAAGCCACGGCUAACUACGUG